GGAGAGUACAGCUCAGUGGUAGAGUGAGUGCUUAGCAUGCAGGAGGUCCUGAGUUCAAUCCCCAGUACCUCCA
rfam:Camelus ferus unplaced genomic scaffold scaffold668, whole genome shotgun sequence.